rnacentral:rRNA from 1 species
UACAGAGGUCCCAAGCGUUGUUCGGAUUCAUUGGGCGUAAAGGGUGCGUAGGUGGCGGGGUAAGUUGGAUGUGAAAUCUCGGAGCUCAACUCCGAAACUGCAUUCAAUACUGCCUUGCUAGAGUACUGGAGAGGAGAUUGGAAUUUACGGUGUAGCAGUGAAAUGCGUAGAUAUCGUAAGGAAGACCAGUGGCGAAGGCGGAUCUCUGGACAGUUACUGACACUGAGGCACGAAGGCCAGGGGAGCAAACGGG